UGUGUUGUAGUAAUUACU
rnacentral:miRNA from 1 species